AACGCGAAGAACCUUACCUGGGUUUGACAUGCACAGGACGCAUCCAGAGAUGGGUGUUCCCUUGUGGCCUGUGUGCAGGUGGUGCAUGGCUGUCGUCAGCUCGUGUCGUGAGAUGUUGGGUUAAGUCCCGCAACGAGCGCAACCCUUGUCUCAUGUUGCCAGCACGUGAUGGUGGGGACUCGUGAGAGACUGCCGGGGUCAACUCGGAGGAAGGUGGGGAUGACGUCAAGUCAUCAUGCCCCUUAUGUCCAGGGCUUCACACAUGCUACAAUGGCCGGUACAAAGGGCUGCGAUGCCGUGAGGCUUAGCGAAUCCUUUUAAAGCCGGUCUCAGUUCGGAUCGGGGUCUGCAACUCGACCCCGUGAAGUCGGAGUCGCUAGUAAUCGCAGAUCAGCAACGCUGCGGUGAAUACGUUCCCGGGCCUUGUA
rnacentral:rRNA from 1 species